UUUAGAUAGCUAUUACCUUUCUUUUUUGCCUAAAACUACUACCACAAUUAGUUCGAGUGGAAAUGAAGAGGCUGCUACCAUGAUCUAUUCCUAUCACAAUGUGAUGACAGGGUUUGCAGCAAGAUUAACGGCAGAACAAGUGAAGGAAAUGGAGAAGAAACACGGCUUUGUCUCUGCUCAGAAACAGAGGAUUUUGUCCUUGCACACUACUCAUACUCCAAGUUUUCUUGGUUUGCAACAGAACAUGGGCUUGUGGAAGGAUUCCAACUAUGGGAAAGGCGUGAUCAUUGGAGUUAUAGACACUGGAAUCGUUCCUGACCAUCCUUCACUUAGCGACGUUGGGAUGCCUUCCCCACCUGCUAAGUGGAAGGGAGUUUGCGAGUCCAAUUUCACAAACAAGUGUAACAACAAGCUCAUUGGAGCGAGGUCUUACCAACUUGCCAAUGGUUCCCCGAUAGACGAUGAUGGACAUGGUACACACACAGCAAGCACAGCUGCAGGAGCCUUUGUGAAAGGUGCUAAUGUAUUUGGGAAUGCUAAUGGCACUGCUGUUGGUGUUGCCCCUCUUGCCCACAUAGCCAUAUAUAAGGUGUGUAGUUCUGAUGGUUGUUCUGACAGUGAUAUUUUAGCUGCCAUGGAUGCAGCUAUAGAUGAUGGUGUAGAUAUUCUUUCAAUCUCUCUUGGUGGAAGUCCAAUCCCUCUCUAUGAAGACAGUAUUGCUAUGGGGGCAUACAGUGCAACAGAAAGAGGCAUUCUUGUUAGUUGCUCAGCAGGCAAUGAUGGUCCAUUCCAUGGCUCAGUAGAUAACUCAGCCCCUUGGAUUCUUACAGUAGGUGCCAGCACCCUUGACAGAAAGAUAAAAGCUACUGUUAAGCUUGGAAAUAGAGAGGAAUUUCAAGGAGAAUCUGCUUAUCGUCCACAGAUUUCCAACUCAACCUUCUUCACAUUAUUUGAUGCUGCAAAAAAUGCAAGUGAUGAAUUUAAAACCCCUUAUUGCAGACCAGGGUCGCUCACUGACCCUGCCAUAAGAGGAAAGAUAGUGUUAUGUUUAGCAUUCGGUGGUGUAACCAUUGUUGAUAAAGGACAAGCUGUGAAGGAUGCUGGAGGUGUUGGCAUGAUUAUCAUCAACAGUCCAGAUGACGGUGUUACUAAAUCAGCUGAUGCUCAUGUUCUUCCAGCAUUGGAUGUUUCAGAUGCAGAUGGAACAAAAAUCCUUGCUUAUAUGAAUUCAACAUCAAACCCUGUUGCUACAAUCGCAUUCCAAGGAACAAUAAUUGGAGAUAAAAAUGCUCCUAUGGUUGCUGCAUUUUCCUCAAGAGGACCAAGUAGAGCUAGUCCUGGCAUCUUGAAACCUGACAUAAUCGGUCCUGGUGUUAAUAUCCUUGCUGCUUGGCCUACCUCCGUGGAUGACAACAAGGACACCAAAUCCACAUUCAAUAUUAUAUCAGGCACCUCAAUGUCUUGCCCUCACCUUAGUGGCGUAGCAGCUCUGCUGAAGAGCACACAUCCUGAUUGGUCUCCUGCAGCUAUUAAGUCUGCAAUCAUGACAACUGCUGACACGUUAAACCUUGCCAAUAGUCCAAUACUAGACGAAAGGCUCCUUCCUGCUGACAUUUUUGCCACUGGUGCAGGACAUGUUAAUCCAUCGAGGGCAAAUGAUCCAGGACUAGUUUAUGAUAUCCCAUUUGAGGACUAUCUACCUUAUUUAUGUGGUUUGAACUAUACGAAUCGACAGGUAGGUAACCUGUUACAACGCAGGGUGAAUUGCUCGGAGGUGAAAAUUAUCCUUGAAGCACAAUUAAACUAUCCUUCAUUUUGCAUAACUGAACUUGGAUCAACUCCUCAGACAUAUACAAGAACUGUGACCAACGUUGGUGACGCUACAUCAUCUUACAAAGUGGAGGUAGCUUCACCAAAAGGCGUUGCCGUGGAAGUUAAGCCCACAGAGCUAAAUUUCUCCGAGUUGAACCAGAAGUUAACAUACCAAGUGACAUUUUCCAAGACAACUAGCAGCUCAAACUUUGUGAUUGUUGAUGGAUUCUUGAAAUGGACUUCUAGUAGACACUCAGUGAGAAGUCCAAUUGCAGUUGUGUUAGCCUAGUCAAAAAUUGGCUUUACGAGUGCAUAAACUACUCAUACAUUUUAUUUUACUGAAAAUACUGUUUGUUUAUCGUUAUUUACUUCAUGUGAGUAAUUUGGGUACAUGUGAAAAAGUUUCGUAAUGGUGAAGAUAUGAAUGACCGCAUAGUAUAACGAUAACACUAUUAAAUGAAAGUUAAGAAAAAAAUAUUUUUGACUCUUUUACCAACUUAGAAGUAGGACAACAAAAACAAGUCCUACGAGUUCCCUAGAAAAGACAUUAGACCACGCUCGGUUUCGUUUACGAAAUUAAUGUCAAUCCAAACCAAAUUAAAAUAAAUUUAGUUUGGUUCUGUUUGAUUAGAUUAUCAAUUUUUGAGUCUAUAUUAAGUGUUAUUGAACAAGUUUACCUCCAAUUCAACUUCUAUCUUCGAAAUGUGAGAGUUUAUUAUUUAGGGUUCAAUUUUCAGUCAUGAGAGUUUCAAUUUAGGGUUUCAGAAUUGGGAAUUACGUAAUUCAUAAGUGUAGGAGCUACAGCGGGUCACUCUCAAAUGCCAAAUUGGGUCAAUUUUUAAUGGGCUAUUGACAUUGGAUAGGCUGGGCUGUCAGUGUAGUGUAGUGCUAAAAUUCGUGUAUUCGGUUAUAUCGAAUUAAUUUUGUUAAAAAUUGAAAAUCGAAUCGAACAACUAAAAUUGCUCCAUCAAAUAAAAAAACCGAUAUUGAAAUUUAAAAAAAUCCCGAAAUAUGCCCGGGCCUAGUUGUAAUUAACUCACAUGUUUGGAAUAAGUAUUUCUUACACGCCAGUAGUUUCAAAGGUAAAAAAUAUAUAUUAAAUAAAUCAUACACAUACACUGUACUAACAAAUUUAUUUUUUAUUUGAAUUCUAUAUAAUUUAAUAAGAUACAAUAAUAUUGAUGUAUUCGUUGUACUUUAUGUAUAAUAAAUUUAUCUUUUAUGUGAAUUCAAUGUUAAUUAGAAAGAUACAAUGAUUUUAAUAUAAUCAAAAUUAACCUUCAUUGAAUUUCAAUACAUAACUCUUUAAAAUAAAUAAAUAUUAAUUUAUGAGUAAAUAAUAUUUCUACAAAAUAAUAAUAUUUUAACGUAACUAAGCAUAAAAAUAAAAUAAUUACAAACAUAUACCCCUUUACAUUCAUACACUUACUAAAUACUUACAUUGUAUACCCCCAACUAAUUUAAAAAAUAUUACUUGAAUGACUAUGUGAGAAUUUCGAUUCAAUACUUAAAUUAGGACGUUGAUGCUAAACUUGUUAAUAUGACAAAAAAUAAAUAAAUAACAGGGACAUUCCUAUAUAUAAUCAUUCCACACCCUUCCACCCCUUAAUCAUACUCCCCCACCCUAUCCCACUCGUAUAUUAUUUUUCAUGAAAAAUAUUUUCUUACUUUCGAACGCACUCUGUACCAAAAUACCCUUCAUUGUAUAUGUAAUUUUCAAUCACUUCAAUUAUUAAUGGAGGAUAUAUCAUUUCCAUGGGAAGAAAUGUAUGAUUUUUGAGUGUUUCACAUUUAAACUUUGACUGUUUAAAUUACGUUAAGUUCGAGGCAUAUAUGACUUUAAUCCAUAAUUUCCACCUCAACUUACACAAAUUUAACUAAUCUGCUUAAAUAUGAAUAAUGUUCAUAAUUAUGAUACUAAGAAUAUAAAUAAAAAUAUAAGACCCACUGUCAACAAAAAUUUCUCAUUUUUUUAAAAAAAAACAUACUUAACAAUUGUUUUUUAAUCUUAAUUUCAAAUUUUAAACUUUUAAUCUCGACUUUACCUUUACUGCUAGGACAGGCUUGUUAAUCACACUUUUGACGUGGUCAUUACUUUCCUUUAUUUUUUAUGGAAAUAAUGAAAUCAACUAGUCUAUUAUUUGUGUAAAAUAAUUCUACAUACUUUCUCUUUCAAUCAUGACUUUUUUUUUUCCACACUAUAACAUUAAAAUGUCUCAUUGUGAGUUUUAACGUGUAAUAGAGGGCACAUUUUAACAAUAGAGGCGGAAUCAAAUAAUUGCAAGAAAUUCAUUUGAGUAUCUUUUGGUGAAAAAAUUAUAUUAUAUAUAUGAGGUUAAUUUUUUUUUACGUUAAUUUUUUUUUUGUGAAAAUCAUAUGACCUUGUCACUAUUAUUGACAACCCCUUCCCUUCUAUAGAUACUUAAAUUAUGUCGAUUCGAAUAGCGGGUGUGGAGGAAAAUGAAAUUAAGUUAACGUUGAUAGUCUUAUAAGGACAAAGCAAUAUAUGUGAAUCUGAUUUUAAUCGAAUUAGUGGACGAUAAAUACUUAAUAGUGAAGCUUAAAAAAAACUAAAAACAUAUAGUUGUUUGAUUGAGAUAAAGUGGAUCAUGAAAGGUCGUGGACCACUUUGUUGUGACACUUUUUCGUGGAAAAUUAGAUGGAUAGAUUGGUGGUUUAAUUAUAAUACGUGUGGAGAAUUUUCUUGAUUUUUUAUAUUUUGAUUAUUUUUAAUGAAAAUUCAUGUUUUGCUACUGAUUACCAAAGCCAAAAUAUAAUGUAAUAAGAAAUGAAUUUUGGAAUUUUCCCUACCUAAACCCUUACAAUAAUUAAUAGAGUAAGGAUUGUUCAAAUUCGCAUAAAGAAAAUUUUUCAUUUUUAAUUAACCCCUUUCUGCACGCCAAAUGAAAUUUAAUAAAUCAAAAAUUAGAAUGGAUUUGAGUGUAAUAAAUAUAAUGAUAAAAGAACUUAUCUUAGUCCUAACUCGGCCACAAAAUAGCUCAUGAGGAGACACUGCCCAAGAUCGUAAAGGGAGGGCCUUAUGCAAUGUAACAAUAUUGUAUAAUUAUGUAUAUAUGAUGUAUAACUAUGUAUCAAAGAUGUAUAUACAUCCAUAUACUCUGUUUGUACAAUGUUUAUGCAUUGUAUCUGUUCAUCUUCCUCAACAAUGUGUUUUCUUGAAUCUUAAUUUUAUACGUAUCGUGCCCCAAAGAAAGGGGAAAAAGAACAAAAUUUUUUUUAACACAAAUAAUUGAUUGAAUUCAUUGUUUACUUUCCAUUUUUGAUAUACAUAGAUUAUAUUAUUAAUUAUACACUUAUUAUUCAUGAAUUAAAUACAUAUAUUAUCUAUCCAUCCACUAAUUUUAAUUUCAUUCCUUGGAUUUCCACAUAUAAAAACAAUAUUUUUUUCCAGCAGCCCCUGUUGGUCCUUUGUGCCCCCACAAGUAAUCAGGUGGACUGAAAUGUAGUGCCAAUUAUCUCUAAUAAUUUCUGCAAUUUAAAGGAAUAAAUAGAUAAAUAUGGAUUUCGACAUAUAAAAACACAGCACAAAAUUAAUAAAAGUUUAAGUUGUGUUGGGAUAUUAGGUCUUGGGUCAACUUUUGUUAGUUAAAUGAGUUUGAUGAUUAGAAUACGCCAUAAUUAUUAUGAUCAGUAAUAAUUUAAAAGUUCAAAUGAAAUAUCGAGUCAAAAUUAAGUGUAAUUUUUCGUGGAUUUACAUUUAUCUAAUUAUCUCAUUCGCCAUUUUCUUAUGUCGAUCACCACUGUCCUCUCUCGCUUGCCUCUCUUCCUGUAUCUCUGGUAUACAUGUACUUAAUACGAUUCUCAUGAUGUUUAUGGGGAUGAUUCACAUAUAUCUAGAUAUCUCGGUCGCCUCUCUUCUUUUUUCGCUCGUGUUUCUCAAUUGAAAAUGACAUAAAUAAGUCAAACUUUAAAAGAAUGUCAUAUACGAGCUUUUUCCACAAGUUUAACAACAAAUUUGAGCUUUUUUCCUUAAAGGGAUAAAACGAAAUUAAAUAUAUUAUAGUGGAUGUCAUUUGGAAAAUAAAACCAUAGAAUAUAAUUUUCUGAUACUGGAGAAGUGAUAAUUUUGUUCAUACACAUGUCUUUUUUCCACAAUAAUUUUUCUAGAUGUUGAAUAGGUCAAUAAUAAAACACUAUAAAUAGACAGUUGCUUCAAAGCAGAGAAAUUCAUCAAAUAAAUCAUCACUUGUUGUAUUAGCUAGCCAUGGGAUUAUUGAAAAUCCUUCUUGUUUUCAUCUUCUGUUCUUUCCAAUGGCCUACUAUUCAGAGUAAUCUCGAGACUUAUAUCGUCCAUGUUGAAUCCCCUGAAAGCCUAGUUACUACUCAAUCAUUGUUAACGGAUUUAGGUAGCUAUUACCUUUCUUUUUUGCCUAAAACUGCUACCACAAUUAGUUCGAGUGGAAAUGAAGAGGCUGCUACCAUGAUCUAUUCCUAUCACAAUGUGAUGACAGGGUUUGCAGCAAGAUUAACUGCAGAACAAGUGAAGGAAAUGGAGAAAAAACACGGCUUUGUCUCUGCUCAGAAACAGAGGAUUUUGUCUUUGCACACUACUCAUACUCCAAGUUUUCUUGGUUUGCAGCAGAACAUGGGUGUAUGGAAGGAUUCCAACUAUGGGAAAGGCGUGAUCAUCGGAGUUAUAGACACUGGAAUUAUUCCUGACCAUCCUUCUUUUAGCGAUGUUGGGAUGCCUCCCCCGCCUGCUAAGUGGAAAGGAGUUUGUGAGUCCAAUUUCACCAAUAAGUGUAACAACAAGCUCAUUGGAGCCAGGUCUUACCAACUUGGUAAUGGUUCCCCGAUAGAUAGUAUUGGACAUGGUACACACACAGCAAGCACAGCUGCAGGAGCCUUUGUGAAAGGUGCUAAUGUAUAUGGCAAUGCUGAUGGAACUGCAGUUGGUGUUGCUCCUCUAGCCCAUAUAGCCAUAUAUAAGGUGUGUAAUUCUGUUGGUUGUUCUGAAAGUGAUGUUUUAGCUGCCAUGGAUUCAGCUAUAGAUGAUGGAGUAGAUAUUCUUUCAAUGUCCCUUAGUGGAGGUCCAAUCCCUUUCCAUAGAGACAAUAUUGCUAUCGGGGCGUACAGUGCAACGGAAAGAGGAAUUCUUGUAAGUUGUUCUGCUGGAAAUAGUGGUCCAUCCUUUAUCACAGCAGUAAACACCGCCCCUUGGAUUCUUACGGUAGGUGCCAGCACGCUUGACAGAAAGAUAAAAGCUACUGUUAAGCUUGGAAAUGGAGAGGAAUUUGAAGGAGAAUCUGCUUAUCGUCCAAAGAUUUCCAACGCAACAUUCUUCACUCUAUUUGAUGCUGCAAAAAAUGCAAAAGAUCCAUCCGAAACCCCUUAUUGCAGACGAGGUUCACUCACUGACCCUGCUAUAAGAGGAAAGAUAGUAUUAUGUUCAGCACUCGGCCAUGUAGCCAAUGUUGAUAAAGGACAAGCUGUGAAGGAUGCUGGAGGUGUUGGCAUGAUUAUCAUCAACCCAUCACAAUAUGGUGUCACUAAAUCAGCUGAUGCUCAUGUUCUUCCAGCAUUGGUUGUUUCAGCUGCAGACGGAACAAAAAUUCUUGCUUACAUGAACUCAACAUCAAGCCCUGUUGCUACAAUUGCAUUCCAAGGAACAAUAAUUGGAGACAAAAAUGCUCCUAUGGUUGCUGCAUUUUCCUCAAGAGGACCAAGUAGAGCUAGUCCUGGAAUCUUGAAGCCUGACAUAAUCGGUCCUGGUGCUAAUAUCCUUGCUGCUUGGCCUACCUCCGUGGAUGACAACAAGAACACCAAAUCCACAUUCAAUAUCAUAUCAGGCACCUCAAUGUCUUGCCCUCACCUUAGUGGCGUAGCAGCUCUGCUGAAAUGCACACAUCCUGAUUGGUCUCCUGCUGUUAUUAAGUCUGCAAUGAUGACAACGGCUGACACGUUAAACCUUGCUAAUAGUCCAAUACUCGAUGAAAGGCUCCUUCCUGCUGACAUCUAUGCAAUUGGUGCAGGACAUGUUAAUCCAUCAAGGGCAAAUGAUCCAGGACUAGUUUAUGAUACACCAUUCGAGGACUAUGUACCUUAUUUAUGUGGUUUGAAGUACACAGAUCAACAGGUAGGUAACCUGAUACAACGCAGGGUGAAUUGCUCGGAGGUGAAAAGUAUCCUUGAAGCACAAUUAAACUAUCCUUCGUUUUCCAUAUUUGGACUUGGAUCAACUCCUCAGACAUAUACCAGAACUGUAACCAAUGUUGGUGAUGCUACAUCAUCUUACAAAGUGGAGGUAGCUUCACCAGAAGGCGUUGCCAUCGAAGUUGAACCCUCCGAGCUAAAUUUCUCCGAGUUGAACCAGAAGUUGACAUACCAAGUGACAUUUUCCAAGACAACUAAUAGCUCAAACCCUGAGGUUAUUGAGGGAUUCUUGAAGUGGACUUCUAAUAGGCACUCAGUGAGAAGUCCAAUUGCAGUUGUGUCUGCCUAGUCAAAAAUUGGCUAUAUAAGUGCAUUAAGUACUCGGACAUUUGAAAAUGCUGUUUGUUUAUAUGUUACUUUUUAAUAUUAUAUUAUUAAAUGUAUUGUUUCAAUAAACUUUAUGUUCACAGUUGUUUGAAGAAUGCAAAAGCAUAUCCUCUUUGAUGUUAGUGUCCAUGCACUGCUCAACUUUUCUUCUUGAUUUCAUUGAUAAUAAAUAUUACUUGAGUGAUUAUGUAAGAUUUUCACUCCAUACUUAAAUUUGGGAAAUUUGCUGUCACCCUUUGAUCCAGAAUCUUGACAGUGACUUCAAAAAUAAAGUCUUAGUCUUCGGUGACUUCAAAAAGUAAUUGGGACGUUGAUGCUUUAACUAUAUUAGUAAGACAAGAAAAGUAAUAGAGACAUAUACUAUGAAUUUCCAAGAAAAAACGUUGUAAUUAAUUCGAACGAACUUAAAUUUUUUAACAUAUUGUGGCCAAAUGAGAAAUCUAUAGCCAACUAUACAUGUCAAGUCCAAAUUCUACCAUUGAAGGGGACCAAUGUACAUCAUCCAUGGUACAUAAUUUAUCUUCCAAAGAAAUUAAAUUAACCAAUACAUAUUUGGUUUUGUAAUAAUUUUCACAAAAAAACAAGAAUUACAGAAUGCAUUGUUGCUAUUUGUGUGUGGCCCAUCAUGUAUUGGUAGCAUUUUUUUACUAGUUAAUAGAGUAAGGAUUGUCCAAAUUCGUAUAAAGAUAUCAUCAUUCUUAAUUAGCUCCUUUCUGCAUGCCCGGUGAAAUGGAAUGAAUCAAGAAUUAGGACGACGUAUAUAACUCUAAUAUAAUAAGAAAUGAAUUUGCCCUACCUAAACCCUUACAACUAGUAAAUAGAGUAAGGAUUGUUCAAAUCCGUAUAAAGAGAUAUUCGCAUUCUUAAUUAUCCGUAUAUGAUGUAUAGCUAUGUAUCAGACAUGUAUAAAUAUUCAUAUAUCUCUGUUUGUACAUGCAUUGUAUCUGUUCAUCUUCCUUAACAAUGUGUUUUCUUGAAUCUCAACCAACUCAAAUCUUCUCUAAACACUCCGAAUGGUUUUGUUGUUGCCUAGCUCUUAUUGAAUUGUAUAUCUUUUGCAUAUAAGAAAAAGAUUUGAUUAUGAUAUAGGGACUCAACACUUCACGAUAGCGAAUAAUUUUAUAUGUAUCCUGCCCUAAAAGAAAGAAAAAACAAAAAAACUUUACUCGCCUCUCCUAUUUUACUCGCCUCUCUCCUCUCUCGCUCAUCCCUCUCCUUGUAUCCGGUAUAUAUAUGUUUUUGGUGUGAUUCUCAUAAUGUAUAUGGGGAUGAUUCACAUAUACCACAAUUGAAGGAGAUCAAUCUACAUCAUCCAUAAUUCACGUUUUGUCUUGCAAGUAAAUUAAAGUAACCAACUUUAGUUUUGUUAUUAAUCACACUUAGUGGCAUUUCUUUUGCUAUCUCUUUUAAUAUUCUUGUCCACAUUAUUCUUUUUUUCCCUCUAGCUAAAAUAGAGUGAUGAACAAUUAGGCAUUAUAAAUAGAGAAUUUGCUUUUAGUAGAUCAAAUUGUGAUUUAUUUUUUGAUUUUUGGUUGCUUUCAUUGAAUCUUUUAAUGUAUUUAGUUGAUUUUAAUUCUUAAAUUAAUGUAUACUUGAUUUGUUUCACCUUUACAAUUCAUUACAAUUUUAUCGUGUAUAAUAUAUUCUUUUCAAAUAUUAACUUUUAUACAUAAUCCUAAUUUAUUGUACACAAAUUAGUAUAUAUCGUGUUACUAGUUAUGUAUUGGAUAUACAAAUAUUACAAAUUUCAUUUUCUUUUACUACCAAUACAUACACCCAACUUUAUUCAACUAGUAGAAGACUAUUAUUUCUAGGGAAAAGGGUCCGAUAUACCCUCAACUUUAUCAUUUAGAGCUCAUAUACCCCUUGUUAUGAAAUUGACUCAUAUAUACUCCUACUUGUAAACAAAUGGCUCAAAUAUAUCCUUUUCCUUUAACGGAAAUGAAAAAAAAAUAAUUUUAAUCUAAAUUUUUAUUAUUUUUUUUCUAAAAAAAUAUAAUCCCAUAUAAGUAAAUUUAAUGCUCGUCAAAUAUAUUUUUUUGACUUUUUUUUGUUUCAAUGACUAAUUUAUAAUUAUUCUUUUGAUAAUCAAAUUUAUUUAUGUUUCAUUAAUAUUCUUGUAAAACUUAUUGUAGAUGACCAAAUUUUUUCUUCGAAUACGAAAUUAAAUUACAAAACACACAAAAAAAAUAGUUUAAUUUUUUAUUCUUUAAACUAAGGAAUGAAAGAAAAAGCAAAAUAAGAAUAAGAAAUUCAAAUAAUUAUAAUAAAAGAAGUCAAAAAAUAAUUUAUGUAUGAAAAAAAUUAAAAUAUACUUUGAACUUUGAUAGAAGAAUCAUAUAUACCCCUAAAUUUUUUUUUAAAAAAAAAUUAGAAGUAAUAAAUAUAAAUUUAAAACUAAUUUUUUUAAAUUCGUUAAAUGAAGGGUAUAUGUGAGCCAUUUCGUAAUGGCAGGGGUAUAUGUGAGCCAUUUGUAUAACGGUAUGGGCAUAUAUGAGCCACUUUUAUAACGAGGGGUAUAUCAGCUCCAAAUGACAAAGUUGAGAGGUAUAUCAGACCUUUUUCCCUUAUUUCUAAAAUGAAAGUCUAGAGUUCGCUUGAAUUGACUUAAAAGUUGAUCAAAUCUACUUUUAAAGUCCUGUUUUAUUUUUUAUUUUUGAGAGUUUUGACAAAGCAGAAAAUAACUUAUAAUAAGUUAGAGAUGACUUUAAAAAAAAGUUAAAAAUUACAAGUAGCUACUUCCUUACUUUUCAUUUUUUAACUUAAAAGUUACUAAAGUUUAACUUUUAAAAAAAUAAGGAAAAAAGUCUGAAAUAUAUAUCAACUUUGACCGAAAUUAUAUUAACGAUAUCAAACUUUGGAAAUGACCUUUUACCCCUGUACUAUUUAAUAGUGUAUUUUAAAGGUAUAUAUGUAUCCACGUGAACAUCACAAAUAUUCCAUCAUUAAAAAUAGAAAGUCAUCAUAAAAUUUGAUAUGUAACAAUAAUUUCGACCAAAAUUGAGAUAUUUUUCAGACCCUUUUUUCAAAAAAUACUUUUUAUGACAAGAAAGUACCUGGGAUGUUGAGUCGUUGACGCUAAACUUAUUAUUAAUAUGACAAGAAAAAAUAGUCCUAUGAGUUUCCUGGAAAAUACAUUGUAAUUAAUUCACAUGGGCACUUUUUAUUUUUUUUUAAACAUAUUGUGGCCAACUGAGAAAUUAUAGUUAGGAUUUUAAAUUGGAUUUUUAUUUCAUAUAUCCAUUUAAAAAUAAUUCAAUAUACUCCAUAACUAUAAUUUGAUAAUUACGAUUUGUAGCUAUAUAUAAGAGGGAGGAGAGAGGCGAGCGAGUGAGAUUGGGAGAGGGAGGAGAGAGACGAAUUGUAUAGGUCUAUCUAUCGAACUGUAUAAGUCUAUCUAUUAAAUAAUUAUAUAUUUAUAGCUGGUAUACGCAUGUACUUGUAUAUCUGGUGAGCGAGAUUGGGAGAGAGGCAAGUGAUAGAGGGUAGAGAGUGGAGAGAGACGAACUGUAUCUGUAUAGCUGUCAGAGGCAGAGAAUGGAGAGAGACUAACUGUAUUUGUAUAAUUGUAAUUAUUGUAUAUAUAUAUAUAUAUAUAUAUAUACUAGUUUUCGAAACGUGCGUUGCACGUUUGCCUUAUACAAUUAUUAUAAAGUUGAAUUAUUAUAUAAUGUUGAAAUUAGAAAUAUUAGUUUUACCAAUUUAUAUUUUAUUUAUUAAAUAAAAUUCAUAAUAAUCGAAUAGUACAUUGACCAUCAAACAAGAAUUUUUUUAAAAAUAAAUAUAUUAUUAUAGCAUCUAAUAAUAUGAAUAUAUCUGUAUAACUUAUUCUUAAUAAUCUCUCAUUACUCUCCAUAUUAGUAAGUACACAAAUGUGUAGCUACUUAAAGAAACUAUAUUAGUAAGGAAAGACAAAAGUAAAUAAAUAUUAUAAAAGUAUAUUUAAAAAUGAAUCUAAAUGUCAUAAAUUAGUAAUUUCAGCACUAAUAAAAAUAGCUUAUAACAUUCAUAAUUUCAUAGAAGAUUAUAUUAAAGAAGUAUAAUCGGUAAAGAAUACAAAAAAAAUUAAACAAAUAAGAAUAAAUACAACAUUUAUAUCCUUCUUAAGACUUUUAAUAUAACAAUAUAUAUAGUAAAAGAAAUACACAAGGAGUAAAAAAAUUUUCUCCCGUAACAAAAAAAAAACAAUCUAAAAUAGUAAAGAUAAAAUUUAUGAUUCAAAAUAUCAUUCUAAUGAGGAUCAAUAAAUAUUAAUAUUUCAAAACAAAAAAAAAGUACCUGUAAAUUGCAUAAUAAUUCACAUCAACACGAGGCAAAUGGUAAAGAGCAAUUAUUUUUAAAUGAUACAUAUAUAUAGCUAAAGAUUUAUUGGAUAAGAUGAAAAGGUGAAAAGUUGUUUAAGUUAAUUUUAGAAGUUGAAUGAUCUUACACAUGCGGUAGAGGAAAGGUGAUUGUUUUUACUAAUAAUUCAAUACAUUUAAUUAUACUAAUUACAGAGAGAGGAUAACAAAUUUAAUCAUUUAACCACAUUAAUUAUAGAGAAAGAAUUAAUAACUUUUAUUUAUUUUUUUUAAAAAGUAAUUCCUAACAAUUUUCUAUGAAAUAAUUUCUAACAAUUUUCUAUAAAAUAUUUUUGUCUUUCAAAGUUUGACUUUACACCUUCUUAGUUUUAGUAUAAUAUAAUUAUUACUUAGUAUGUAAAUAAUUAGAAUUUAAACUAUUGUGUCUAGAUGCAUGUAUUUAAAUAUGAUUAUAUAAUAUUAAAUUAAUUAUAUAUUAAUAUUUAAUUUAAUUUAGGGAUAAAAUAAGGACAAAAUGGUAAUUCAACUUUUAAGUUAAGAGCUUCCCACUUAUAAUAAUAAGAGUAUAUGUUAUAUCAUAAAAAAAAUCAUCUAGCAGACUAAGUACAAAUAUGUCAUAAAUAUUUUCUUGGAUAGCUUAAUAUAUAGAGGUUGUGAAUAUAAUCGAAGACAUCUAUAAUCUUUUUCAACACAUCGCAUUAGUACCAAUUUAUACUCUAUCAAUAGUUAUUUCUCCAAACUCAAAAGAGAAUUAAAAAAAAUUAUAAAAAUAUUGAACCAAUGAUUUCUAUAAUCUGGCCAUGAACAAAAUUACACUAAUAACUUAUCUUUUAAGUCUAGCAGGGCACUCUUAUAAUCAAAGGUUCUGAUACCAUCAUUCUGCUAUCGAAAAAGAAAAGCAUAUCAAAGAAAACAUAAGAAUUUUCAGAAUGUUCAUUGAUGUAUUUUUUUUUUGUACCCACAAAAUAAGAAUAUGCAAAAAUGAAACAAAAAGAAAAGAAAUAAUACAUACUUACUGGAGUAUCUCCGAUGAACAUAUGAAAUUAGGAAGAUGGUAGAUUAGAUUUUUGAAUGAUUAACAUAGAAUACACACAAUAUAUUAUAGUAAAUGAGACUCUUUGUUUCCCUUGUCUGUUAUGCCUUUUCAGUUGCAUCAUUUAAAUAUGUCUUCAUUAUUAUAUGAUAGAAUUACUGAAGGCUGAAACUAAUAAUUAUAUAUGGUAAUUAAGAUACUAUAAAUUAAAAGUUUUAUAUUUAAUAUUAAAAAAUAACUCCAAGAAAUUGAACAAAUUACAAAAAAAAAAAUCUCAUUAAAAUAUUUUUCUCACCUAUUAAAGCAUCAAAUUAGAAUUAAGGAAACAUAAAUCAACACAUAUAAACAAAUUAACAAUUAAUUAAUUUAUAAAUAGUCUAAGAGAUAAACUUCAAAAAAUUUAAACUAUUUAAAAAAAAUAAUAACAGGAAAACGUGUCUUUAAGAUAAUUAAACUUUAUUAUAUACUAAUAUUUUACUAAUAACCAAUUAGAUGAUUUUUACUAUUUCAAUGCAAGGACAAGGGUAAGACUUUUCAAAUUUAAAAAUUAAGAGUAAUUAAGUUAAAGACUAUAAAAUAAUUAGCAAUUUAUUUACUAAUAUUUAGUUACUUUGAUUAAGAUUUAGUAUAGGGGCAAAAUAGUAAUUCAACGUUUGCUUAACAUUCUUCCCACUUAUUCACAUUACAUGUUUAUUUUUGCAUGUCUGCUUAACGUCUGAAGCAGGAUCAGUAAGCAAAUCAUAACUCUUGUAAAUUUUAUUGCCUUUAUUCUUCACUUCUUUAGUAAGUGAAACAUGUACAAUCUUACACAAAUUCGUGUUAUUUACUUUCAAGUUGCAGAGUAGGAAAUUACCUUGGAUCUAAAAGAAAUUCCGUUGGAAUAUAAUUGAUUCCUACUCUCAAAUCUGUUGCAGCACCAAGUUCAAUUAUUUUGAACGCGCAACAACCUGCUUCAGAGAGACAUUAAUUACAACUUACAAGUACGCAAUCAAACUCAACCAUUGUGAAUCAGGUCAGCACUUUGUUUUUUAAAUAAUAUGUAUAUCCAUACGCCUAUGCAGUUUAUGACAGAGCACUUUCAGUUGCUGAUCUAAAACCUUGGUAGGAUCAAUCUGAACCUCAAGGUUUACUCAUUUUUUCCCCUUGAUUUGUUGACUUUCAACGUUUAAUUCUUUGUUCGAUGUUAAUUUUUACACAUAUUAGUACACACACAUACUGUUGAAUAGUACAAUAGAAUGUAGGAUUUUCAACAUAGUUUAACUGUCCUUCAAUGUCUUUAACUCCUGCUGUUGUUCUUUGUUAAUGAUCAUAAAAAUUCCGAAAUCACAUUAAGCCAUAUUAUAAUGAAGAGACAGAAUGUGUUUUGGAGAACCAAAACACAAAAAUGAUUGAAAAGAGCAACAGAAUAGAGAAUUGACUCAAACUCUUCUUCUACUGCUUCUUUGUUCCCUAAAACAAACAAAAAAAAACAGAACUGUCAACAACUCCAUUGCACAAUUGCUUUGUGAAAACUCGAAUACUGGCCUCCAUCUCAUUCAUAAAAAGUUUAUAUUUGCAAUUAGCAGCAAAACAGAGCAAAACCAAAGCAUUAACAUCAAAAAUUGACUGUAACUAUUAGGCAACAAAAACAAAGCACCAAAAAUAUUUACCUGUAUACUGACACGCCUUCUCUCGCCACUUCGAAGACCUUUCAUGCAGCGAUGUCCACCAAACUCCUUUUCUGACAAAGAAAACCAGGAAGCUGAAGCAAUGCUGAGUAGUAGAGGUAUUCACGGACUGUCAAUGUUCCAAUAAGAGUAGUUUCUCUGUCAACAAAUCCCAGCAGCCAAAAAGUUCCAUAUCAAAAGGCAGAGCUCAUGAUAAAGAAUAGCUAAGUUCCUCAUCCAAAAAUAUUUACCUGUAUAUCAUCCAGACACAAAAAGAGAAACAAUUUAAUGGACAAUAACAUGUGAUUUGAGACAUUUAUACAGAUGAUGAGAGUAGCUAAAAAGGUUUUGGAAGAAGAUGAUGAAACUUCAUAAUCGUCAGAAGAGAAGUGGAGCAGAUGACCGUUUCUGAAUAAUUAAAUUAGGCUGUUAGGAAAUUAAAUUUAUAAUAAUCAAUAUUAAUAGGUUUAACUAAUAUAGGGUUAAUAGGUUUAACUAAUAUAUUUAAUAAAUUAAUAUAUAAAUGAUAUUGUAGGGUUAAAAUGGUAAAUCAACUUUGGAGUUAAGAGGUUCAUGCUUACAAUAAUACUAGUUUCCGAAAACGUGCGUUGCACGUUUAUCCUAAAAUACUUCGUACAAUGUUUGUAGUGCAAAUAAUAAAUUUAAACAAUAUAUAUAUAUAUAUAUAUAUAUAUAUAUAUAUAUAUAUAUAUAUAUCAAGAAUUAACUAUUAUGCAUUUCAAUCACAUUUGUUACCGACCCAAAGGUAUAUAUGUACAUUUCACAAAUUUCGUCAAUAAUUCAUUUCCUCGUAAAUUUAAAAAAUAAUGAAGUUACAGUGGUUCAUCAACUUAUAAGACACCAUUGGUUCUCUUCAUCUUCAUUUUUAUUCUCUUCAUGUUCAUUUUUUUCUUUCUUUAAUUUUUUUGUUAGUGAGUUGGAUUCACUUGUACAGAAUCACAUCAACUUUUUAUCUUGUAGGAUAUUUAUUGAUUGUCAUGGAUGUAGUGAUAAAGCUAGAAGUCUUUCUUCUUGUCCUUGUGUAAAAGAUUUUUUUUUGGAUAAUCCAAUUAAGUGUACCGUCUCAACUUCUAUAAAAUAAUUUUUAUUUAAAAAUCAAACCAAAAUUUUAUUAAGAACAUAUCAACUUACACAAAAAUAAUUAAUUGCAUAUAAGGAACAAUAAUUUAUUACCUGAAAAUUGAUACCACUUGAAAUAGUUCAAUCUGUGUUGCUUCACUUACUGCAUCAUCACUAUGAAAUAUUAGCGUCAUUUCUUAAUUGUAUCUUCAUAAAAAAAAAGUCAAUUUAAAAAAUUUAUUAGUAGUUGAAAUAUUCAACAAUUUAGAUGAGUUCAAAUAAAGAUAAAUAAAACAUUGAGCAUAACAAACUCAUAUAAAAAAAAUAAAUAAAGAUAACAUGAUUACAUGAGAAAGUAUAAUAUAUAAUAUAGGAAAUGGAGAAUCUGCUAAUAGAAGAUAAAAACGUUACAAAUUAAGUGAUCCAAGAAGUGACAUUUUGAUAUCUUUAGACUAACUGGCUAACACCUUAAUAUGAGUUUUCUUUUUUUUAAAUAAUAACAAUGGUUUAAAGAGCAUAAUAAAAGUAGGUAACUUAAAAGGAUAAAUCAUUAUUGCUUUAUUUUUUAAAUUAUUAAUUCCAAUGCAUGUAUACUUUUUUAUCUAGUAAAAUUUUAUCUAGAAAUUAAUUAUGAAUGCUUUCGCUCUUCCACCUUCCGAGGAUAUUAAAUGGUUUUUAGUGCAUUCAGCUUAUCAAUAAUGAAGAACGAUAAAUUUGCACUUCAAAGCUGAAUUUGGUUUUUAUUAUGUUAUUAAUUUCAGUAAGUAUAAUUUAAUAAUAUCAUAUGAACUAAUAUUUAAAAAUAAUUAACUAUUAUAGGAAUACAAUGGUGAUUCAACUUUGCAUUUUGGAGCUUCACACUUAUACCCAUGAGUGUAUUAUUUCUUAAAAGAUAAUAAAAUAUAUCUAAUUGAGAUUUCUUACUUUGUUUUACUACUAAUUAUGAUACUCCAAUUUUCUGACCUUGCGUCUCAUGUUAGUCUAUGUUGACUCAUUUGAAUAUAUAUAUAUAUAUAUAUAUAAACCUAAAAAAAUUUAACAAGUUAAGUUAGGCUUGCACAAUGUUUAGAGUGUUUAUUGUUUGUAUUUUAAAGAACAAAUAUGUGCUAUAUGUAACAAAUAUUAUGAUAUUUUAUAUUUAAUAUAAUAUUUAUUACGAUUAUAAUUAUAUUUAAUUUUAUCUUUCAUAAAAUUAUAAUAUUAGUAUGCAAUAAAAUAAUUAUUGCUUUUGAAGGCCCUCAAUAUGAUGAUGGGUUGCUAGAAAUUUGAUAUUGAAGAAUGAUAUAUAUAUACAUGUGCAUAUAAGAAUAACCUCUUCUUUAUCUAUAGUAAAUUUAUAAGUGGUUAGAUAUUUAAAAUGUGAUUUCUCGUACUCAGAUAUAAGAUAAUUUCUCAUUAUUUUAAACUGUAAUCCCCUUCUUCACUUUACAAAAUUAAAAAUCGUUUAUGAGUGACACCCCUUCAAUAUUUAUGAUGUCAUAAUGAUCCAACACUUGAAAGCGGUAAAAGUUAUUUAAAACUCUCAUCUGAGGUUGCAGAUUUGUUAAUUUGGAGAAUCAUAGUUAAAGUAUGAAUUUUUAGAAAUUGUUAGAUUAGUUUAAUUUUUAAUUAUAUUUCUAUUUUAUAAAGUUUUUAUUGAACUACUAAUAGAUAUUAAAAUUGAAACACGAUUAUCAUGUUAUGUUUUGUAAGAACUAUAUUUAAUCAAAUUAAAUAAUUAAAAAAUUCUUUAUAAUGAGAUUUAAGAAUAAUAGAAAAUUUCAAAUUGCGCUUUAAAAAAAUAGUUCUUAAUCAUGAGCACAAGCUUAUUAUUUAAAUCACAAAAGACGAUUUUCUCAUUGCCUAAUUAAUAAUUGAUUCCUCAAAUAGAAACUAAAACACAUUAUACAAUCUACAAGUAAUAAUUUUCUUUAAAAUGAAAAUUGUCAGACCAAAAAUAAUAUAACAUGCAACCAAAGCUAAACAAAAUUAAUUAGCAUUGCAUCAAACGGUUGGUUAAAUGUGAUUUAUACUCCUAGCGAUAUAUUAUGUUAACAGUUGAGUAUAUAUAUUAGAUCAAAACAUCUUCAAUUACAAACUUCGAUUGCAAUUUCUUAAUAAUUUUCUUUUGAUCUCAUGACAUGUUAAAAACAACAGAAGAAAAUGAUAUUUAAUAUGAUAACAAUGAAUUUUUUUAAAUAAGAGUAAUUAUACAAAAAAAAAAUUCAUCUAAAGCAUGAAUAUAAUACGGAAAUUAAAAUUGAUUUCAACCUUCGGGAAGACUUGAACAUCCCUUCUGUCGUUGUAAACUCCAUUAGAAGAUCUAACAAUUUGUACACAUUUCUUUUCUAUAAACAACAAAUGAAGAUAAGGAAAAUUAGUAAUCAGUGUUAUGAACAGAAGCUAAAAGUGACUUAAAUAUAUACUAAAGGAUAAAAACAAUAGAAAUAUAGAAUUUUUUUUUUAAUUUCUUCCAAACUGUACCUAAAUAUCUUCAAAGUGUAUAGAUUGUUGUGUCAAAUACCGCAAUUUAUAGGACAUCAUUGAGUAAAAUCAAAAGUCUCAUAAUUAUGCCAUCAACUUCUUGAGAGUGUGGAAAGAUUAUGAAGGUGUGAAUAUUAAUGAUGAGAUAGUGAAGGUGUGGUAUUAAUACACAUUAUGACAAAAUUAAACCUAAAACUGAUCAGAUAGAGAAAUGAAAAGUUUCUCUAAUACAUUUACGUAAUAACUUUAUAAUUAAUUAUUUUUACAACUAUUCAUUCUCCUACUUUAUUUUAACAAUAAGUGAAUCAACUUAAUUAACAAUUUAAGCAUAUUUAAAAUUUAAUUAAUUAAUUAUUUUAUAAUAUUUUAAGUUAGUAUAAGGCUAAAAUGGUAAUUCAAGUGAAUCAACUUAAUUAACAAUUUAAGCAUAUUUAAUAUUUAAUUAAUUAAUUAUUUUAUAAUAUUUUAAUUUAAUAUAAGGUUAAAAUGGUAAUUCAACUUUUAAGUUUUGAGCUUCAUGCUUAUAAUAAUAAUAAUAAUAUAUAUAUAUAUAUAUAUAUAUAUAUAUAUAUAUAUAUAUAUGUAAUUUAUAUUUGUGUAUAUAUAAGUGACAUAAUUACAACUAAAAUUUAGCUGCAUGUCAUAAUUUAUUAGAACUAUAUUAGCUAAUUAACUAGUAUACCUUACUUAUCCGUUCCUUUUUUUUAAAAAUAAUUUGUACAUAUUUUUUUUAUUAGUUUGUUAAAGCAAAUAUACUAUUUGAACAACUAUACAUGUCAAAUGUCCACGCAAGUCCAAUCUCCAUGUAACACGUUUCGUCUUGCAAAGAAAUUAAAUUAACCUAAACUUUAGAUUUGUUUUUAUUUUUUUUUAACUCGAUCAACUCAAAUCUUCUUUGAACCUUCCAAUUUUAUAUAUGAACUCAUCUCAUAUUUCAAGUCUAUUGAUAUAUUAUACGUUCAAGAUAUUUACGUUUGUGACACAUCAAAUUUUAAAAAUUUGAGUUUCAAAGCUCUUUAUAAGUUAAAGUGCUCGGAUGGAUGACUACUAAAAUUGAUUCUUGGAAGAAGGAUCUUGAAUAGAUGCGUGUCUUUGAGAACAUGCAUUGCAAUUUCAUUUAGACAAAAUAUUUGCAACUUUUUAUUACCAAGUGAUUUUACAGUAAAAAAUUUGUAUAUGGAAAGAUGUUCUUUGUAUCCAAAUAUAAUUAAGCAAAUUUACAGAGGAUGGUCUUCUGGAAAAUCUACAAAUUUCAUAGAAUAAAGUUCAGUUUAACUAGUUUAUUCACGCCUAGUGAUUUAUAAAAAUAAACAAGUAAUUAGAGACAACUAAAAACAAUAAAAAAAUUGUAGACAAAUAGUUAGAGACAGUUAGAUUUAUUAAUUUUAACUAUGUUGUCCACAUUAUUCUUUUUCUCCACUAGCUAAAUAAAGUCAUGAGCAAAGAUGAAGUAUAAAUAGACAGUUGCAUCAAAGCAGAAAAAUUCAUCAAAUACAUUAUCACUUCAGCCAUGGGAUUCCUCAAAAUCUUUUUUGUUUUCAUCUUUUGUUCUUUCCCAUGGCCUACUAUUCAGAGUGAUUUCGAAACUUAUAUAGUCCAUGUUGAAUCCCCUGAAAGCCUAAUUACUACUCAAUCGUCGUUCAUGGAUUUAGAGAGCUAUUACCUUUCCUUUUUGCCUGAAACUAUGUCCGCAAUUAGUUCGAGUGGAAAUGAAGAGGCAGCCAGCAUUAUCUAUUCCUAUCACAAUGUGAUGACGGGGUUUGCAGCAAGAUUAACUGCAGAACAAGUGAAGGAAAUGGAGAAAAAACACGGCUUUGUCUCUGCUCAGAAACAGAGGAUUUUGUCCUUGCACACUACUCAUACUCCAAGUUUUCUUGGUUUGCAGCAGAACAAGGGUGUAUGGAAGGAUUCCAACUAUGGGAAAGGCGUGAUCAUCGGAGUUCUAGACACUGGAAUUAUUCCUGACCAUCCUUCUUUUAGCGACGUUGGGAUGCCUUCCCCGCCAGCUAAGUGGAAAGGAGUUUGUAAGUCCAAUUUCACCAACAAGUGUAACAACAAGCUCAUUGGAGCCAGGUCUUACGAACUUGGCAAUGCUUCCCCGAUAGAUAAUGAUGGACAUGGUACACACACAGCAAGCACAGCUGCGGGGGCUUUUGUGAAAGGUGCUAAUGUACAUGGCAAUGCUAAUGGAACUGCAGUUGGUGUUGCUCCUCUUGCCCAUAUAGCCAUAUAUAAGGUAUGUGGUUUCGAUGGAAAGUGUCCUGGCAGUGAUAUUUUAGCUGCCAUGGAUGCAGCUAUAGAUGAUGGAGUAGAUAUUCUUUCAAUCUCCCUUGGUGGAUCUCUGAGCCCUCUUUAUGAUGAAACUAUUGCUCUCGGGGCGUACAGUACAACACAAAGAGGCAUUCUUGUUAGUUGUUCUGCCGGAAAUAGUGGUCCAUCACCUGCCUCAGUAGAUAACUCAGCCCCUUGGAUUCUUACAGUAGGUGCCAGCACGCUUGAUAGAAAGAUAAAAGCUACUGUUAAGCUUGGAAAUGGAGAGGAAUUUGAAGGAGAAUCUGCUUAUCAUCCAAAGACUUCAAACGCAACAUUCUUCACUCUAUUUGAUGCUGCAAAAAAUGCAAAAGAUCCAUCCGAAACACCUUAUUGCAGACGAGGGUCACUCACUGACCCUGCUAUAAGAGGAAAGAUAGUAUUAUGCUUAGCAUUCGGCGGUGUUGCCAAUGUUGAUAAAGGACAAGCUGUGAAGGAUGCUGGAGGUGUUGGCAUGAUUGUCAUCAACCCAUCACAAUAUGGUGUCACUAAAUCAGCUGAUGCUCAUGUUCUUCCAGCAUUGGUUGUUUCAGCUGCAGAUGGAACAAAAAUUCGCGCCUAUACAAACUCAAUAUUAAACCCUGUUGCUACAAUCACAUUCCAAGGAACAAUAAUUGGAGAUAAAAAUGCUCCAAUAGUUGCUGCAUUUUCUUCUCGGGGACCAAAUACAGCUAGUCGUGGAAUCUUGAAACCUGACAUAAUCGGUCCUGGUGUUAAUAUCCUUGCUGCUUGGCCUACCUCCGUGGAUGGCAACAAAAACACCAAAUCCACAUUCAAUAUUAUAUCAGGCACCUCAAUGUCUUGCCCUCACCUUAGUGGCGUAGCAGCUCUGCUGAAGAGCUCACAUCCUGAUUGGUCUCCUGCUGUUAUUAAGUCUGCAAUCAUGACAACCGCUGACACAUUAAACCUUGCCAGUAGUCCAAUACUCGACGAAAGGCUCAGUCCUGCUGAUAUCUAUGCAAUUGGUGCAGGACAUGUUAAUCCAUCAAGGGCAAAUGACCCAGGACUAGUUUAUGAUACCCCAUUUGAGGACUAUCUACCUUAUUUGUGUGGUUUGAACUACACAAAUUCACAGGUAGGUAAAUUGUUGAAACGCAAAGUAAAUUGCUCGGAGGUUGAAAGUAUCCCUGAAGCACAAUUAAACUAUCCUUCAUUUUGCAUAUCGAGACUUGGAUCAACUCCUCAGACAUUCACAAGAACUGUGACCAAUGUUGGUGAUGCCAAAUCAUCUUACACGGUGCAGAUAGCUUCACCUAAAGGCGUUGUCGUGAAAGUUAAGCCCCGCAAGCUAAUUUUCUCGGAGUUGAAGCAGAAGUUAACAUACCAAGUGACAUUUUCCAAGAGAACCAACAGCUCAAAGUCUGGGGUCUUUGAGGGAUUCUUGAAGUGGAAUUCUAACAAGUACUCUGUGAGAAGUCCAAUUGCAGUUGAGUUUGCAUUGGCUACAAAGUAUUCAGACAUUUGAAAAUGCUGUUUGUUUACACAAUUAACUUUAUGUUACUUUUUUCAUAUAUAUUAUUAAAUGUAUUGUUUCAAUAAACUUUACGUUCUCAGCUGAUUGAAGAAUGCAAAAGCAUAUCCUCUUUGAUAUUAGUGACCAUGCCCUGCUCAACCUUUCUUCUUGAUUUCAUUUUUUUCAACAAAUAAAAUGACUUCUCGAGAUAAUAAAUAUUAGUUGAGUGACCGUAAAAGAAUCUCAGUUCAUAAUUAAGCACCCUUUGAUCCAGAAUCUUGACAGUGACUUCAAAAAUAAAGUCUUAGUCUUUGGUGACUUCAAACUUAUUAAUAAGACAAGAAAAAUAAUAGAGACAUAUCCUAUGAAUUUCCUGGAAAAACUGUUACGUUGUAAUGUUACGUAAACCCUUACAACUAGUUAAUAGAGUAAGGUUCGUUCAAAUCCUUAUAUAAAAAAAAAGAUUCUCAUUCUCAAUUAGCCCCUUUCUGCACCCCCAAUGAAAUGGAAUGAAUCAAGAAUUAAAGACAAAUAUGACUAAUAUAAUAAGAAAUGAAUUUGCCCUACCUAAAUCCUUACGAUUAGUUAAUAGAGUAAGGAUUGUUCAAAUCCAUAUGAAGAAGAAUUCAUUCUUAAUACUCGGCCUCAAAAUAACUCACGAGGAGGAGGGGCUUCUUAUGUAAAUGUACACCCGACAAAAAAAACUUUCUUACUAAAAUGGUCGUAGUAUAUGUAAUAUAUCGAUAUUUGUAUGAAUAAUGUAUAAUUAUGUAUAUAUAGUAUUUAUACAUUGUAUCAAUUCAUCUUCCUCAAUAAUGUGUUUUCUUGAAUCUUAAAUUCUUAACCAACUCAAAUCUUCUCUAAUCAUUCCAAACAGUUUUGUUGUUCGCUAGCUCUUAUUGAAUUGUAUAUCUUUUGUAUAUAUAUAUAUAUAUAGAAAAGAUUUGAUUAUGAUAUAGGGACUCAACACUUUAAGAGUUGAUGUUCAUUUGAUUCUCUAAAAAUAUGAAAUAGUGACACUUUCUUUAAGCAAAAGGAUAAAUUAUAAAAUCAAAUUAAAGAGGAUUGAUCGAAGAAUAACAUUAACUUGUUGAUGCUUAGCUUAUUCAUAUGAUGACCAAAAAAAAAAAAAAACUUCGAAUUUCCUGCAAAAGACGUUGUAAUUAAUUCACAUGGAUAUUUUUUAUUAACAUAUUGUGGCCAAAUAGACUUACUAACACAAAUAUAAUAUAAUAGUACUAAAUUAAUAUUCGGUAUAUUAAUAGUUUAUCCAAGACAAUAGGUUUUUUCAUGUCUUGAUUUGUGUCAAUGAAAAAAAUCACUCAUUUCAAUAUGAUAAUAUGACAAUAUAUUUUCAGAAGACCCUAUAUAAAUAUACUAUCCCACUAAUAUUAUCUUUAAAAAUAUGAAUAUAUCUAAGAUAAUUUAAGUGAAAUGUGAUUUUAUUAUCUUUCUUACAAAUUUAAAUCUAGUUAAAUUCAUGUCUAAUUUUUUUAUUGCAUCCAAAAAUUCUAGUGUUGUCACGACUACAAAUUAUCUUCCUGAGUGCGCCUCCUAUGUUGACACAUUUUAAAUGAGAAACCAUUUAUGCAUAUGGUUACAAAAAUUUCCUAUGUUGCUUAUAUAAUUUAUUCUCUCAUCAUCGUACAUUGAAUAUUUCUUGUGAAGAUACAUUGAAUAAUAUUUUGUUAUUAAGAAACAAUGACCAUUAUAUAUAGUGAAUUUGUUUUUACGAUGAAUCACUGAAUUUUUGAAUUUAUUUUAUAAUGAAUCAUUAAAAAAAAAUAUAUAUAUUACCGUGAUUCAUACAUAUACAUUGUACUUUGUGUAUAAUGAUUUUUUUUUAAAUAUAAGUUCAAUAAAUAUAAUGUAUAAUUUAGUAAGAUAUAAUGAUUUUGAUAUAUUCACUGUACUUACUAUAUAUAAUAAAUUUAUUUCUUAUGUGAAUUCAAUAAAUAUGAUACAUAAAUUAAUAAGAUAUAAUUAUUUUAAUGUAAUCAAAGUUGACCUUCAUUGAAUCUCAAAAACACUCUUUAAUUAAUAAAUAUUAAUUUAUGAAUUAAAUAAUACCUUUGUAGAAUAACAAUAUUUUAUGAUCUCACAUAUAUUAAUUUAAUGAGAUUUUAAGGUAUGCGAGCAAAAUCUACUAAAUUCGAUCAAAUCUGCGUGCAGGUUACUAGCUCUACCCUUCACGUUAUACCAACUAUAUAUGUCAAAUGUCCACGCAAGUCCAAUUGAAGGAGAGCAAUGUACAUCAUCCAUCAUUCACGUUUUGUCUUGCAAAUAAAUUAAAUUAACCAAUUUUUAUUUUAGUAUUUAAAAUUAACCAAUUUUAGUUUUAUAAUUAAUAUUUUUAAUCUCGACCAACUGAAAUCUCCUAUGAGCACCUCGAAUUUUAAAUUUGAGCUCCUCUCAAUAUUUCAAGACUAUUAAUAUAUUAUUCGUUCAAAAUAAUUGAUGACUAUUGAAAUUAAUUCUCGGAAAAGGAUCUUGAAUAGUUACAUGUUCAUGCAUUGCAACUUUAUUUAGACAUAAUAUUUGCAACUUUUUAUUACAAAGUGAUUUAACAGUUAAAAUUUGUAUGGUAAAAAGAUGUUCAUAUAAUUAAGCAAAUUUACAGUGGAAAGUCUUUUGGAAAAUCUACAAAUUCAUAGAAUAAAGUUCAAUGUAACUUUAGUUUCAUUCACUCUUAGUGGCCUUUCUUUUCUUUUCCUUUAAGUAUUAAUUUUAAUUUUCUUGUCCACAUUAUUCUUUUUUUCCACUUGGAAUAAAAUAAUGUCAUGAGCAAAGAUGAAGUAUAAAUAGACAGUUGCAUCAAAGCAGAAAAAUUCAUCAAAUACAUUAUCGCUUCAGCCAUGGGAUUCUUCAAAGUCCUUCUUGUUCUCAUCUUUUGUUCUUUCCCAUGGCCGACUAUUCAGAGUGGUCUCGAGAUUUAUAUAGUCCAUGUUGAAUCCCCUGAAAGCCUGAUUUCUACUAAAUCAUCGUUAACGGAUCUAGACAGCUAUUACCAUUCUUUUUUGCCUAAAACUACUACCGCAAUUAGCUCGAGUGGAAAUGAAGAGGCUGCUACCAUGAUCUAUUCCUAUCACAAUGUGAUGAAAGGAUUUGCAGCAAGAUUAACAGAAUCUCAUGUGAAGGAAAUGGAGAAGAAACGAGGCUUUGUUUCCGCUCAGAAACAGAGGAUUUUGUCCUUGGAUACUACUCAUACUCCAAGUUUUCUUGGUUUGCAGCAGAACAUGGGUGUAUGGAAGGAUUCCAACUAUGGAGAAGGCGUGAUCAUCGGAGUUAUAGACACUGGAAUUCUUCCUGACCAUCCUUCGUUUAGUGAUGUUGGAAUGCCUCCUCCGCCUGCUAAAUGGAAAGGAGUUUGUGAGUCCAACUUCAUCAACAAGUGUAACAACAAGCUCAUAGGAGCGAGGUCUUACCAUCUUGGCAAUGGUUCCCCGAUAGAUGGUAAUGGGCAUGGUACACACACAGCAAGCACAGCUGCGGGAGCUUUUGUGAAAGGUGCUAAUGUAUAUGGCAAUGCUAAUGGAACUGCAGUUGGUGUUGCCCCUCUUGCCCACAUAGCUGUAUAUAAGGUAUGUAGUUCUGAUGGCGGUUGUUCUGACAGUGAUAUUUUAGCUGCCAUGGAUUCAGCUAUAGAUGAUGGAGUAGAUAUUCUUUCUAUAUCCAUUGGUGGAUCUCCCAACUCUUUCUAUGAUGACCCUAUUGCUCUUGGGGCAUACAGUGCAACGGCAAGAGGUGUUUUUGUAAGUUGUUCUGCAGGUAAUAGAGGCCCUUUGCUUGCCUCAGUUGGAAAUGCAGCCCCUUGGAUUCUUACAGUAGGUGCCAGCACGCUUGAUAGAAAGAUAAAAGCUACUGUUAAGCUUGGAAAUGGAGAGGAAUUCGAAGGAGAAUCUGCUUAUCGUCCACAGAUUUCCAACUCAACAUUCUUCACUCUAUUUGAUGCUGCAAAACAUGCAAAAGAUCCAUCGGAAACCCCUUAUUGCAAACCAGGGUCACUCAAGGGCCCUGUUAUAAGAGGAAAGAUAGUAUUAUGUCUAGCAGGCGGUGGCGUCUCCAGUGUUGCUAAAGGAAAAGUUGUGAAGGAUGCUGGAGGUGUUGGCAUGAUUGUCAUCAAAACAUCACAAUAUGGUGUCACUAAAACAGCUGAUGCUCAUGUUCUUCCAGCAUUGGAUAUUUCAGAUGCAGAUGGAUUAAGAAUUCGUGCCUAUACAAACUCAAUAUUAAACCCUGUUGCUACAAUCACAUUCCAAGGAACAACAAUUGGAGAUGAAAAUGCUCCAAUAGUUGCUGCAUUUUCUUCUCGGGGACCAAGUAGAGCUAGUCCUGGAAUCUUGAAACCUGACAUAAUCGGUCCUGGUGUUAACAUCCUUGCUGCUUGGCCUACACCCGUGGAUGACGACAAAAACACCAAAUCCACAUUCAAUAUUAUAUCAGGCACCUCAAUGUCUUGCCCUCACCUUAGUGGUGUAGCAGCUCUGCUGAAGAGCGCACAUCCUGAUUGGUCUCCUGCUGUUAUUAAGUCUGCAAUCAUGACAACGGCUGACACGUUAAACCUUGCCAAUAGUCCAAUACUAGACGAAAGGCUCCUUCCUGCUGACAUUUUUACCACUGGUGCAGGACAUGUUAAUCCAUCGAGGGCAAAUGAUCCAGGACUAGUUUAUGAUACCCCAUUUGAGGACUAUGUACCUUAUUUUUGUGGUUUAAACUAUACCAAUCGAGAGGUAGGUAAAAUGUUACAACGUCAGGUGAAUUGUUUGAAGGUGAAAAGUAUCCCUGAAGCACAAUUAAACUAUCCUUCAUUUUCCAUAUUCAGACUUGGAUCAACUCCUCAAACAUAUACCAGAACUGUGACCAACGUUGGUGACGCAACAUCAUCUUACAAAGUGGAGGUAGCUUCACCAAAAGGCGUUGCCGUGGAAGUUAAGCCCACAGAGCUCAAUUUCUCUGAGUUGAACCAGAAGUUAACAUACCAAGUGACAUUUUCCAAAAGAACCAACAGCUCAAACUUUGUGAUUGUUGAUGGAUUCUUGAAAUGGACUUCUAAUAGGCACUCAGUGAGAAGUCCAAUUGCAGUUGUGUUAGCCUAAUCAAAAAUUGGCUUUAUAAGUGCAUAAGGACAUUUGAUUGUAGUGAAAAUGCUGUUUGUUUUCACAAUAUAUUUUAUGUUACUUUUACAUUAUUAAUUGUAUAUUUACAGCUGAUUGAAAAAUACAAAAGAAUAUCCUCUUUGAUUAAUGCACAUUAAUUUCUAUUAGUGGCCAUGCCCUGCUCAACUUUUCUUCUUCAACUAGACAAUAGCAAGCACGAGCCUUAGGUAAAUAAAUAUGAUUAUAAUUCAAUUAAUUUAAAUAAUAAUUAUUAAAUUGAAUUCAUUUAAUUUGAAUAUGAUUUGUUAUAGUUCUAUAAUUUGAAUUUAAGUCAAUGGGUUGAUGAGUGCUUAAUCUUUCAUAAAAUGAAGGGUUCAAAUUUUAGUAGCGUUUUAUUCUUAACAUUAAUUACUUCUAAAUUAUUUUCCAAGAAUUAAUACUUGUUAGAAACAAUAAUUGGAAAUGUGAUUGACGAAGAAGAGACAUUCAUCGUAUACAUAUUGGAAAAUACAAACAAAUCCCUCUUCGAUACAAUAAAAUCCUAUAUUUAUACAUGCAAUUUUUUCUUAUACUACUUAUAGAGAGUCUUUAUUAUAUUUGUAGAAUUUAAGAGAUGACUUUUCAUAAGAGUCAUGUUUUUUCAUGAAUAUAUGACUUUUCAUAAUAGUCAUGUCCUUUCAUGAUCAGAUGAUUUUCAUAAGAAUCAUGUUCUUUCAUGAUGUGUCAAUUUAAUAUAAAAAUUCUACAUUACAAAAAAUUCAACAAUACUAACAUCAAUUAUUAGGAUUAUUAAUGUGGUAAAAUAGUAUUAGAAAAAAUAAUCUUCAAUAGUCAUAUCAAGCAUUGUUUUCUUAAUAGAUAUGUCAAGUUCAAAUGUGAUAAAUGAAAAGUAGAUUAAACUAAAAAGUAUUAAAAGAGUUAAAAGAUUUAAAUUAAUAAAUACACUCUUUUUGUUUAGGAUUUUUUUAAAAGUGUGUAAAUAAAAUAUAAACUAAUAAUAUGAAGGAAUAGAUUCAUUAAUAAUUGUGCACAGAUAAUUUCUCUCUUAAUAUUAUGCACAUAUGGAAUAAACCAAAAAAAAAAAGUUUUAAAAUAUAACAACUAAUCAUGAAAUGACAAAGCACACAUUUUGAUACCUCAAAUUUAAACUCACUCUUCUAUUAUAGUAAAUUUCAUUAUUUUCAACAAAUAAAGUUCUUAGUCUUUGGUGACUUCGAAAAUUAAUUAGAACAUUAAUGCUUAACUUUAUCAAUAAGACAGGAAAAAUAAUAGAGACAAUAUCCUAUGAAUUUUCCUAGGAAAAACAUUUGUAAUAAUUCAAAUGAAAUGUUGCUAUUCGUGUGUUGCCCCUCAUGUACUAGUGGCAUUAUUUUAUACUUUUAGAAAUAAAUUUGCACUGCCUAAACCCUUACUACUACUUAAUAGAGAAGGAUUGUUCAAAUGCGUAUAAUAAAUAUUCUUAUUCUUAAUUAUCCUUUUUUUGUACGAUCAGUGAAAUGGAAUGAAUCAAGAAUUAGGACGAAUAUGAUUCUAAUGUAAUAAGAAAUGAAUUUUGGAAUUUUCCCUACCUAAACCCUUACAAUAAUUGAUAGAGUAAGGAUAGUUCAAAUUCGCAUAAAAAAAUAUUUUUUUUCUUAAUUAACUCCUUUCUGCACGCUAAAUGAAAUUGAAUGAAUAAAAAGUAUGAAUGGAUUUGACUCAAUAUCAUAAUAAUAAUAAUAAUAAUAAUAAUAAUAAUAAUAAUAAAAACUUAACUUAGUCCUAAAUCGACCUCAAAAUAGCUCAUUAAGAGUCACUGCCCAAGAUCGUAAGGGAGGGCUUCAUGCAAUGUAUCAAUCUUGUAUAAUUAUGUAUAUAUGAUGUAUAACUAUGUAUCAGAGAUGUAUAUACAUCCAUAUACUCUGUUUGUACAAUGUUUAUGCAUUGUAGUUCAUCUUCCUCAACAAUGUGUUUUCUUGAAUCUCAACCAAUUCAAAUCUUCUCUAAAUAUGACUCAACACUUUAUGAACGUGCAUAAUUUUAUGCAUAUCGUGCCUCUACGGUAUACAAAAACGAACAGAAAACCGAACCAAAUCGCAAAUCGAGUUAACCCCCCAAAAAAACCCGAUUAGUGGUUUGGAAUUGAAAAAAAAAAUUGACUGUAUUUGGUUUUAACUAGAAAAAAUCAACUCGACAUUAUAUAUGUUAUUUUAAAUUUAUUUUAUGUAUAAAAAUAUUUACUUUGAUAUGAUUUUAAAAUAUUUUUUGUAUUUUUUCAUAAUUUUAUAAAUUUAAUAUACUUAGAAUUUGAAAUGUCCAACAACUAUUAUAGUUCAUAGAUGUUGAUAAUUAUAAUAAUACUUAAAUCAUAAUUAAAUUUAUAAUAAUGCAAAAAGAAAAUCAAUUCAACACUAAGAAUGACAAUAAUAUUGAAAAUUUGUUCUUUAGUUUUACAUUAGUUUAGAUAAUUAACAUACAUAGUUAAUUCUAAUUUUUCUUAAAUAGUUAGUAAUGUAACUAAUACUUAUUAAACUUAUUUUAACAUGAUUUAAUACUUUCAAAUUACGAUCAUUUUCAUUAUGACUUUACAAUAUUUAUUUUGUAUGAUGAUUUCAUUAUUAUUUAAUGUAAUAUUUUUGAGUCAUCAAUACUCCUCUCAUGUUUUGUAUAUUUUUUUUAAGAAACACCUUAGAUAAUAGUACUUUGGUUGGACUAAAGAAAAAUCUGAAGCACAAGUUAAUUAUAUGUUUGUAUGUAAACUUUACCGAAAAAUUCAAAAAACUGAAAAAAGUUCAAGGUUUAUUAUUUGGUCUGAUUUAUAAAUUUAAAAAUUCGCCACAAUGAUUUCGUUUGAUAUUUGUAAAAGCCGAACCAAUCCGAGGUUGAAAAACUCAAAAUAUUCAAAUUUUAUAAGUUUGGUUUGGUUUAUAAAUUUAAAAUUUUUAUACAAAUGAUUUAGUUUGGUAUUUGAAAAACCCGAACCAACACAAUCAUGUACACCCCUACGUGCCCCAAAGAAAGGAAAAACAAAUAAUUAUUUUUAACACAAAGAAUUGAUUGAAUUCGUUGUGUACUUUCCUUUUUUGAUAUACAUAGAUUAUAUAUUAAUUAUACACUUAUUAUUCAUGAAUUAAAUACAUACUCACUUCGUCCUAAUUUAUGUGACAUUGUUUCCUUUUUAGUCAGUGUCAAAAAGAAUGUCACAUUUCCUUAUAUGAUACGACAAGUAUUUAAAGGUACAAUUUCUCUUUUAUCUUUAUUGGUCCUGCUUAAUUUUAAAUAAUACUCUAAUACAUUUAUGAAGAGACAGAAACGUCAAUUCACUUUUGAAGGACAAUAUGGUAAACAAUUCAAAAAGUCUUCAUGUUGAAUGCCUUGAAUUGAGCCUUAGUUAUCUGUCAAUUAUGUAUUUUGGGCCCAAGCCUGUUAGGGCGUAGCUUAGCACUAUAUAUAGACGCUAUGACAAACCCUAUUCUGUAAUUCUGUUUUUGCCUUUCCGUAAUAAAACUGCUCCCCUCUUUCCGUGGACGUAGCCAACUUAUUGGUGAACCACGUAAAUCUGUUGUCUUGUUUUUCGCGUUUAUAUUUUCUCGUAUUAUCUCGAAUUCCGCAUAAUAAAUUGGUAUCAGAGCCUCCCGGUUAAUCGGUGUUCUUGGAGAAUUUCGAGAUGUCUGCUUUGAACGUGAGGUAUCAUUUUCUGAGAAGUGAGAAGAGAAUCAAGGUGAAGAAAGUAGGAACUGCUGAUAAUCUUGCUGAUAUGUUCACAAAGCCGGUUCCACAGAGCAAGUUUCAACACUGUUUGGACUUGCUCAACAUCAGAAGCUGUUAAUUGCCCUGCGGGGCAAUUCUGAGGAAGAGGGGGAGGCCUGGCACUAUCAUAGUGCGUCUGAAGAAUCUGUUUGGAGAAUUCAAGUCAAGGUGGAGAUUUGUUGAAUGCCUUGAAUUGAGCCCUUAGUUAUCUGUCAAUUAUGUAUUUUGGGCCCAAGCCUGUUAGGGCAUAGCUUAGCACUAUAUAUAGACGCUAUGACAAACCCUAUUCUGUAAUUCUAUUUUUGCCUUUCCAUAAUAAAACUGCUCCCCUCUUUCCGUGGACGUAGCCAACUUAUUGGUGAACCACGUAAAUCUAUUGUCUUGUUUUUCGCGUUUAUAUUUUCUCGUAUUAUCUCGAAUUUCGCACAACAUUUCAUUUAUUUUUUGAACUAUGUGUCAGGUCAAAUAAUGUCAUAUAAAAUGGGACGAAUGUGAGUAUAUUAUAUAUCUAUCCACUAUCAGUUUUAUUCCUUGGAUUUCCACAUGUAAAGACAAUAUUUUUUUCUAGCAGCCCCUGUUGGUCCUUUGGUGCCCCCACAAGUAAUCAAGUGGACUGAAAUGUAGUGCCAAUUUUCUCUAGGAAUUUCUGCAGUAAUUCAAAGGAAUAAAUAGAUAAAUAUGGAUUUCCACAUAUAAAAACACAACACAAAAUAAAUAAAAGUUUAAGUUGUGUUGGGAUAUUAAGUCUUGGGUCAACUUUUGUUAGGUAAAUGAGUUUGAUGAUUAGUAUACGCCAAUUAUACGAGAAAUUAUUAUGAUAAUAAUAGUUUAGAAGUUCAAAUAAUAUAUGAAGUUAAAAUUUAAAUUAAGUGUAAUUUUCUAUCGAUUGACAUGUAUGUGAUUAUCUCACUCGCCUCUUUCUUAUCUCCUGUAGACAUGUAGUUAAUACGAUUUUCAUGAUGUUUAUGGGGAUGAGUCACAUAUAUUUGGGUAUUUCGGUCGCCUCUUUCUUUUUUUCGCUCGUAUUUCUCACUAUUUUUUUUAUUUGGUAGCAAAAAUACAUAUAUAUAUAUAUAUAUAUAUAUAUAUAUAGAUUAGUGUAUCUGACUUAAUAUCUGUAAUGAAACUGUAAAUUAGUGAAACUAUAUAUACAUAAUUAUUUCAAACUAUAAAGAAAACUAGUAAAUAUUAUAGAAAUAUUUAUGUAAUUAGAUAAUUUCAGUUUUAUUUCUCGGAUGGUUCUCGCAUUAGAAAGUACCUACUUUCACCUUGGUAUACCUCUAUUGAAUGUGGCAUGUUUCUAAUGUUCUUUUAUCACAUUCAAGUGCAUCGAUGUGCCUUUUCUCAAUCGAAAAUGACAUAGAUAAUUCAAACUUUUAACAGAUGUUAUAAAAUGAGCUUUUUUCCUAAAGUUCAUUAACAAAUUUGAGCGAUUUUCCUUUUAGGGAUAAAAGAAAUUAAAGAAGAAUAAUACUAAUACUUUUCACUAUUUUACACUUAUUAUUCAUAGACUAGGUACAUAUAUUAUAUAUCUGCAAAUUUUAGUUUUAAAUCCUUGAAUGGAUGUUUACUCUUCCAAGAAGGAUCCGAAAUAGCUGCAUGUUUUCGAACACUUGCAACUUUUUUUAUAACAAAGUGAUUGUUUAACAUUAAAUAUAUUAUAGUGGAUGUCAUUUGGAAAAUAAAACUAUAGAAUAUAAUUUUCUGACACUAGAAGUGAUAAUUUUGUUCAUACACAUGGUCUUUUUUCCACAAUAAUUUUUCUAGAAGUUGAAUAGGUCAAUAAUAAAACACUAUAAAUAGAGAGUUGCUUCAAAAGCAGAAAAAUUCAUCAAAUACACUGUCCAAAUACAUCAGCACUUCUUAUAUUUGCAGCCAUGGGAUUCUUGAAAAUCCUUUUUGUUUUCAUCUUUUGUUCAUUCCCAUGGCCUACUAUUCAGAGUAAUCUCGAGACUUAUAUCGUCCAUGUUGAAUCCCCUGAAAGCCUAAUUACUGCUCAAUCAUCGUUAAUGGAUUUAGAUAGCUAUUACCUUUCUUUUUUGCCUAAAACUACUACCGCAAUUAGCUCUAGUGGAAAUGAAGAGGCUGCUACAAUGAUCUAUUCUUAUCACAAUGUGAUGACAGGGUUUGCAGCAAGAUUAACUGCAGAACAAGUGAAGGAAAUGGAGAAAAAACACGGCUUUGUCUCUGCUCAGAAACAGAGGAUUUUGUCUUUGCACACUACUCAUACUCCAAGUUUUCUUGGUUUGCAGCAGAACAUGGGCUUGUGGAAAGAUUCCAAUUUUGGAGAAGGCGUGAUCAUCGGAGUUCUAGACACUGGAAUUCUUCCUGAUCAUCCUUCAUUUAGCGAUGUUGGGAUGCCUCCCCCGCCUGCUAAGUGGAAAGGAGUUUGUGAGCCCAAUUUCACCAACAAGUGUAACAACAAGCUCAUUGGAGCCAGGUCUUACAAACUUGGCAAUGGUUCCCCGAUAGACGAUGAUGGACAUGGUACACACACAGCAAGCAC
rnacentral:lncRNA from 1 species